rnacentral:lncRNA from 10 species
CUAAUGUUAGUGUAUUUUAUGUGUGGCCUAAGACGAUUCUUCUUCCAGUGUGCCCCAAGGAAGCCAAAAGAUUGGACACCCCUGGAAACUCAUCAGUCAGAGGAGAUGUGAGUGAGAGGCCUCAAGUGACCCUUUCUGGAAAUUCUUCCAUAUGAAAACAUGGGAGGAGGGAGGACAAUGCAUUAGGAUUAAUAUAGUUGAAACUUGGCCUGAGAAGAAAGAGGGGAGGCUAAAUGCCAAGAGCUAAAUUCCACAGCUAUGACCAUUUUCGUGAGCUGAUUCACUCCUGUUUGUACUUUGGAGGAAGAAGCUUGGAAUACAGAGAAGCAUGCAGGCAGCAACCCAGGUUUCCUAUGUAGGAACCACAUGUGCAAAAAUGGCAAAAGAAAGAGAGGAGCAAGAGAUCCGCUUAUGAUAAUCCAACAAAACGAUAACUGGAACAGAAAAGAAAACGACGGCCAAUCAAACCCCUGAGUGACUCCACAUUGUCUUUAAUUCUCCUCUAAUCA